AAUGAGCUCCUAGGGAUCCUCUUCUUCAUGUUUGCAAAUGAACUUCUUCCUUGUUUUCAACUAAACUAUAGUAGUAUUCUGCUUCUUUUUCAUUUUCGUUUUUGUAUUUGUCAAACUUUCGGAUCUUAAUAUGCAACAAACUGAAAUGAAAAAUUGUAUGACAUCUGUAGAUCAUGAUUUUACGAAUUUAACGCCACAAAUUUCG
rnacentral:lncRNA from 1 species